rnacentral:rRNA from 1 species
UACGAAGGGUGCAAGCGUUACUCGGAAUUACUGGGCGUAAAGCGUGCGUAGGUGGUUUAUUAAGUCUGAUGUGAAAGCCCUGGGCUCAACCUGGGAAUUGCAUUGGAUACUGGCAGGCUAGAGUGCGGUAGAGGAUGGCGGAAUUCCCGGUGUAGCAGUGAAAUGCGUAGAGAUCGGGAGGAACAUCUGUGGCGAAGGCGGCCAUCUGGACCAGCACUGACACUGAGGCACGAAAGCGUGGGGAGCAAACGGG